GUUAACAACAGAUGCUAAAGUCAACACCAGAAGCUAAAGUUAACAACAGAUGCUAAAGUCAACACCAGAAGCUAAAGUUAACAACAGAUGCAAAAGUUAACACCAGAUGCUAAAGUUAAAAACAGAAGCUAAAGUUAACAACAGAUGCUAAAGUUAACACCAGAAGCUAAAGUUAACACCAGAUGCUAAAGUUAACAACAGAAGCUAAAGUUAACACCAGAUGCUAAUGUUAACAACAGAUGCUAAAGUUAACAACAGAAGCUAAAGUUAACACCAGAUGCUAUAGUUAACAACAGAAGCUAAAGUUAACAACAGAUGCUAAAGUUAACAACAGAUGCUAAAGUUAACAACAGAUGCUAAAGUUAACACCAGAUGCUAAAGUUAACACCAGAUGCUAAAGUUAACACCAGAUGCUAAAGUUAACACCAGAUGCUAAAGUUAACAACAGAUGCUAAAGUUAACAACAAGUGCUAAAGUUAGCAAAAGAUGCUAAAGUUAACAAAAGAUGCUAAAGUUAACAAAAGGUGCUAAACUUAACAACAGGUGCUAAAGUUAACAACAGACGCUAAAGUUAACAACAGGUGCUAAAGUUAGCAAAAGAUGCUAAAGUUAACAACAGAUGCUAAAGUUAACAA